UUAUUGCUUAAGAAUACACGUAG
rnacentral:miRNA from 2 species